GAUGAACGCUGGCGGCGUGCCUAAUACAUGCAAGUCGAGCGAACGGACGAGAAGCUUGCUUUUCUGAUGUUAGCGGCGGACGGGUGAGUAACACGUGGAUAACCUACCUAUAAGACUGGGAUAACUUCGGGAAACCGGAGCUAAUACCGGAUAAUAUUUUGAACCGCAUGGUUCAAAAGUGAAAGACGGUCUUGCUGUCACUUAUAGAUGGAUCCGCGCUGCAUUAGCUAGUUGGUAAGGUAACGGCUUACCAAGGCAACGAUGCAUAGCCGACCGGAGAGGGUGAUCGGCCACACUGGAACUGAGACACGGUCCAGACUCCUACGGGAGGCAGCAGUAGGGAAUCUGACGCAAUGGUCGAAAGCCUGACGGAGCAACGCCGCGUGAGUGAUGAAGGUCUUCGGAUCGUAAAACUCUGUUAUUAGGGAAGAACAUAUGUGUAAGUAGCUGUGCACAUCUUGACGGUACCUAAUCAGAAAGCCACGGCUAACUACGUG
rnacentral:rRNA from 1 species